UCAGCGCUCCUAACACGCUCGGGGUUGUUAUUGGGACCCCCUUGAUAAUUCGUUUUAGUUUAAAACUGGUCUCGCAAGGCCCAAUAUUGGUACUACAUGUGCCUAAUAACCUAAUAAAAUUGCAUAGGGACUUUCCGGACCCCGUGGAUAAUUAAUAAACCCUCGGGCCAGUGCUCCUCAUGAGUGUUGGUCCAAAAUGGGCUGCCUGCGGGGCCACCGCGGGGAAACUCGGGGAUUGGUUUUACACGUAGAUAGUCCCAUCCUGUCG
rnacentral:lncRNA from 1 species